rnacentral:rRNA from 1 species
UGCGCAGGCGGCGGCUCAAGUCAGGUGUGAAAUCCCCGGGCUUAACCUGGGAAUUGCGCUUGAAACUAGGUCGCUAGAGUGUGGCAGAGGGGGUGGAAUUCCACGUGUAGCAGUGAAAUGCGUAGAGAUGUGGAGGAACACCGAUGGCGAAGGCAGCCCCCUGGGUCAACACUGACGCUCAUGCACGAAAGGCUGGGAAGCAAACA